rnacentral:tRNA from 1 species
GAGGGUAUAGCUCAGCGGUUAGAGUACACGCUUAGUAUGCAUGAGGUCCUGAGUUCAAUCCCUAGUGCCCCCA